rnacentral:rRNA from 1 species
GAUGAACGCUGGCGGCGUGCCUAAUACAUGCAAGUCGAGCGAACGGACGAGAAGCUUGCUUCUCUGAUGUUAGCGGCGGACGGGUGAGUAACACGUGGAUAACCUACCUAUAAGACUGGGAUAACUUCGGGAAACCGGAGCUAAUACCGGAUAAUAUUUUGAACCGCAUGGUUCAAAAGUGAAAGACGGUCUUGCUGUCGCUUAUAGAUGGAUCCGCGCUGCAUUAGCUAGUUGGUAAGGUAACGGCUUACCAAGGCAACGAUGCAUAGCCGACCUGAGAGGGUGAUCGGCCACACUGGAACUGAGACACGGUCCAGACUCCUACGGGAGGCAGCAGUAGGGAAUCUUCCGCAAUGGGCGAAAGCCUGACGGAGCAACGCCGCGUGAGUGAUGAAGGUCUUCGGAUCGUAAAACUCUGUUAUUAGGGAAGAACAUAUGUGUAAGUAACUGUGCACAUCUUGACGGUACCUAAUCAGAAAGCCACGGCUAACUACGUGCCAGCAGCCGCGGUAAUACGUAGGUGGCAAGCGUUAUCCGGAAUUAUUGGGCGUAAAGCGCGCGUAGGCGGUUUUUUAAGUCUGAUGUGAAAGCCCACGGCUCAACCGUGGAGGGUCAUUGGAAACUGGAAAACUUGAGUGCAGAAGAGGAAAGUGGAAUUCCAUGUGUAGCGGUGAAAUGCGCAGAGAUAUGGAGGAACACCAGUGGCGAAGGCGACUUUCUGGUCUGUAACUGACGCUGAUGUGCGAAAGCGUGGGGAUCAAACAGGAUUAGAUACCCUGGUAGUCCACGCCGUAAACGAUGAGUGCUAAGUGUUAGGGGGUUUCCGCCCCUUAGUGCUGCAGCUAACGCAUUAAGCACUCCGCCUGGGGAGUACGACCGCAAGGUUGAAACUCAAAGGAAUUGACGGGGACCCGCACAAGCGGUGGAGCAUGUGGUUUAAUUCGAAGCAACGCGAAGAACCUUACCAAAUCUUGACAUCCUUUGACAACUCUAGAGAUAGAGCUUUCCCCUUCGGGGGACAGAGUGACAGGUGGUGCAUGGUUGUCGUCAGCUCGUGUCGUGAGAUGUUGGGUUAAGUCCCGCAACGAGCGCAACCCUUAAGCUUAGUUGCCAUCAUUAAGUUGGGCACUCUAAGUUGACUGCCGGUGACAAACCGGAGGAAGGUGGGGAUGACGUCAAAUCAUCAUGCCCCUUAUGAUUUGGGCUACACACGUGCUACAAUGGACAAUACAAAGGGCAGCGAAACCGCGAGGUCAAGCAAAUCCCAUAAAGUUGUUCUCAGUUCGGAUUGUAGUCUGCAACUCGACUACAUGAAGCUGGAAUCGCUAGUAAUCGUAGAUCAGCAUGCUACGGUGAAUACGUUCCCGGGUCU